CAGCCGCGGUAAUUCCAGCUCCAAUAGCGUAUAUUAAAGUUGUUGCGGUUAAAAAGCUCGUAGUUGGAUCUCGGCGGGCAGGGGGUGGUUCGCUCUUCAGCGCUACUGCCCCGCUUUGCCCGUGUGAUUGGCGGAGGUUUCGGGGUGCUCUUCGUUGAGUGACUCGGAGCGCCGUCAGGUUUACUUUGAAAAAAUUAGAGUGCUCAAAGCAGGCUUUUCACGCUUGAAUAUUCGUGCAUGGAAUAAUGGAAUAGGAACUCGUUUCUAUUUUGUUGGUUUUCGGAAAUCGAGUUAAUGAUUAACAGGGACAAUUGGGGGCAUUAGUAUUCAGACGACAGAGGUGAAAUUCUUGGACCGUCUGAAGACUGACUACUGCGAAAGCAUUUGCCAAGAGUGUUUUCAUUAAUCAAGAACGAAAGUUAGAGGUUCGAAGGCGAUCAGAUACCGCCCUAGUUCUAACCAUAAACGAUGCCAGCUAGCGAUCUGCCGAGUUUUUUUUGUAGGCUCCGCAGGAAGCUUUCGGGAAACCAAAGCUUUUGGGUUCCGGGGGAAGUAUGGUUGCAAAGCUGAAACUUAAAGGAAUUGACGGAAGGGCACCACCAGGAGUGGAGCCUGCGGCUUAAUUUGACUCAACACGGGAAAUCUCACCAGGCCCGGACACUGGAAGGAUUGACAGAUUGAGAGCUCUUUCUCGAUUCGGUGGGUGGUGGUGCAUGGCCGUUCUUAGUUGGUGGAGUGAUUUGUCUGGUUAAUUCCGAUAACGAACGAGACUCUGUCCUGCUAAAUAGUUGGGUCGUCCUUCGUGCGACCCAAGUUCUUCUUAGAGGGACUGGCUGCGUCUAGCAGCACGAGAUUGAGCAAUAACAGGUCUGUGAU
rnacentral:rRNA from 1 species